AUUGAACGCUGGCGGCAUGCCUUACACAUGCAAGUCGAACGGCAGCACGGGUGCUUGCACCUGGUGGCGAGUGGCGAACGGGUGAGUAAUACAUCGGAACAUGUCCUGUAGUGGGGGAUAGCCCGGCGAAAGCCGGAUUAAUACCGCAUACGAUCUACGGAUGAAAGCGGGGGACCUUCGGGCCUCGCGCUAUAGGGUUGGCCGAUGGCUGAUUAGCUAGUUGGUGGGGUAAAGGCCUACCAAGGCGACGAUCAGUAGCUGGUCUGAGAGGACGACCAGCCAAACUGGGAUUGAGACACGGCCCAGACUCCGACGGGAGGAAGCAGUGGGGAAUUUUGGACAAUGGGCGAAAGGCUGAUCCAGAACUGCCGCGUGUGUGAAGAAGGCCUUCGGGUUGGAAAGCACUUUUGUCCGGAAAGAAAUCCUUGGCCCUAAUACGGUCGGGGGAUGACGGUACCGGAAGAAUAAGCACCGGCUAACUACGUG
rnacentral:rRNA from 1 species